rnacentral:rRNA from 1 species
GCCCAGACUCCUACGGGAGGCAGCAGUAGGGAAUCUUUCACAAUGGGCGAAAGCCUGAUGGAGCAACGCCGCGUGCAGGAUGAAGGCCUUCGGGUUGUAAACUGCUUUUAUAAGCGAGAAAUAUGAUGGUAACUUAUGAAUAAGGAUCGGCUAACUACGUGCCUGCAGCCGCGGUCAUACGUAGGAUCCGAGCAUUAUCCGGAGUGACUGGGUGUAAAGGGAGCGUAGACGGCAUGGCAAGUCUGAUGUGAAAACCCGGGGCUCAACCCCGGGACUGCAUUAGAAACUGUCAGGCUAGAGUGUCGGAGAGGCAAGUGGAAUUCCUAGUGUAGCGGUGAAAUGCGUAGAUAUUAGGAGGAACACCAGUGGCGAAGGCGGCUUGCUGGACGAUGACUGACGUUGAGGCUCGAAAGCGUGGGGAGCAAACAGGAUUAGAUACCCGCGUAC